rnacentral:rRNA from 1 species
AAUGAACGUUGGCGGCGUGGAUUAGGCAUGCGAGUCGAGCGAGAACCGUAGCAAUACGGGGACAGCGGCGAAAGGGACAGUAACGGGUAGAUUAUCUGCCCUCAGGUUUGGGAUAGCUGCGGGAAACUGCAAGUAAUACCAAAUAAUAUCUCCGGACCAAAGGUGUGAUUCCGCCUGAGGAUGAGUCUGCCUCCUAUUAGCUUGUUGGUGGGGUAACGGCCUACCAAGGCAUUGAUGGGUAGCGGGUGUGAGAGCACGACCCGCGUCAUUGGGACUGAGACACUGCCCAGACACCUACGGGUGGCUGCAGUCGAGAAUCUUCGGCAAUGGACGCAAGUCUGACCGAGCGACGCCGCGUGUGGGAUGAAGGCCUUCGGGUUGUAAACCACUGUCAGAGGGGAUGAAAUGCAGGUGGGUACUCCCAUCUGUUUGACAUAGCCUCAGAGGAAGUACGGGCUAAGUUCGUGCCAGCCGCCGCGGUAAGAC